GUUUUUAGCUGUAGAGCAAUUGCAAAGAAAAAGAAAUUCAGAAUAUUCACAUACUUAUCAUUCUUGCUUGGGUACCAAAGGGCGCUUUCAAAACAGUCUUCCUAUCAGUUAGGGUCAAAUACAAGGGCCAGCACAAGUAAGAGAUAUUUCCAGCAUAAGAUGUUAAUGUGUGCAUAGUCCCAUCAACUGAAUAUCCAGUCACCUUCAUGGGAGCAUCAAGUAGAUGCCAGACACCCAGCCUGCACUUGCUCCUUUUGCACACACUAGUGGCUGCACUUGGAAAAGUUUGUGCAUUUUUCUGUUUGCUUUUUUCUUUUCUUUUUUUUUUUUUUUUUUUAAUAGAAAUCUUCCAGAGGUUUCUGCUGAGAAUUUGAUUCACCUUGAAGAAAAACUAGAAAACAUUAUUGUGAUACAGUUUCCUUUAAGAAGAAAUACCAGCAGGAGCUCAUUCAUGAGAUUUAGAGAGUUGUCAACAGAGCUGAAAUGGCUGGGAUUCUUAUCUGCCAUCUCCAACAUAUUUUCUAUAUUAUGAAGAAAUUUAAUGAGUCAUUUCAUUUGGAGUUUUGAACUUGAUGUCCAGAUUCCACAGCUCAGCAGUAGCUGAGGGGAAAGAGCCAUAGGGAAAAGAAGCAAAUUUGUGAAGGUAAGAAAGUGCAGGAUGUAGAUGGGGUAAUUCUGUGUGUAGAUGUCUCCUCAGUUAUUUAUUUUUUCAGGGUCAUGUUUUGUCUUGCAGAUCUCAGGAGUUUCACCUCUUGAUAGUGACAGUACAAGUCACGUGACCGAAGGUCUCUGUUGUCACUAAUGGAAGAAAUCUACAGACCUCUAAGGCUGAAAUCAGUGCUCUGUGCCCAGCACUCAGAUGACAGAAGACUACUGUACCAGUAUGAGAGUUAAUGGUGUGGUGUCCUUGUGUAGGAGGCUCCUAGCAGGAUCAACCCCUCCACAGGCUCCAUGGUCUCCUUGAUGUCAGAAAAUAUUGAGCAGCAGAAAUCAAAAUGUCGGAGUAGUCAGUGCAGUUAUCUGGGCAGCUU
rnacentral:lncRNA from 1 species